rnacentral:piRNA from 1 species
UGAGACAGAAGGGCACGCCUACGGCCC